AACGAACGCUGGCGGCAGGCUUAACACAUGCAAGUCGAGCGCCCCGCAAGGGGAGCGGCAGGCGGGUGAGUAACGCGUGGGAACAUACCCUUUAGUACGGAAUAGCCUCGGGAAACUGGGAUUAAUACCGUAUACGCCUACGGGGAAGAUUAUCGCUAAGAUGGCCGCGUUGGAUUAGCUAGUUGGUGAGGUAAUGGCUCACCAAGGCGACGAUCUAUAGCUGGUCUGAGAGGAUGAUCAGCCACACUGGGACUGAGACACGGCCCAGACUCCUACGGGAGGCAGCAGUGGGGAAGUAUUGGACAAUGGGCGGAAAGACCUGAUCCAGCCAUGCCGCGUGAGUGAUGAAGGCCCUAGGGUUGUAAAGCUCUUUCAGUGGGGACGAUAAUGACGGUACCCACAGAAGAAGCCCCGGCUAACUUCGUG
rnacentral:rRNA from 1 species